CAUUCAAAUGUAACGAAGUUCAGAAGUUUGUUUUUCCCUGCCUGGCGAAGCAAGCCAACGAUGUAUGAUAAUUGCGGGAGUUGACAAGCGGUGAAGUGUCGGCGUUUUCAGCAGUGCUGGCUGAGCUGCAGUGUACAUGGGCUAUAUGACGAUCUGCUAUGGUUGUGCGAGUGACAGGAAUCAAGUGCAGUCAGUGACCAUCAAGACUCAAAACUCUGCAAUUAUUGACAACAUGCUGAACAGAUUUGAAAUGACAGGAGCGACGGGGAAGGCCAUCGUAGCCAGCAGAGAGCCGUCAACACCACAGUGACACAACAGAAGAAGACCAUACAGCACAUGUCGUCAUGGUCACCAGCUACUCUGCCAUCACCAUGGCUCAAAGUUUCCAGCAGGCACAGCUGAUCAACACUACCGAGCGGUUCUGAUCAGGGUUUGAUGUGGAUGAGGACCAUGUCACCAACUUCUGCCCUGCUUCGUUCUGAUGCUCCGUCAUCGGGGAGUAUAUUCUACUCUUUGUCAAGUGCACUUCCAGUCUCAUUACAUUGGCACCGAACUUUUGCUCUGAAUUUCCCACGCCCUGCUCUGCCGGCUCUUCUUGAUACUGUAAGUCAACAAAUUUUCAGCCCAUUCAAAUUUAUGUCGCGAAUUCAAUAUUACGUAACAUUCGCGAAUGCUAAAAUAACUCAGUUUGAAUGUUUCACGUAACUUUUCUCCAUUUUUUUUGUCUAUCGCCAUAUUUGCCAUGGCGAUGUGCAGUGCUGGCAGUUUUUCAUGCGCAUGCUUGAUCCUUGGCUUUGGCGAUCAUUUUUUGGCUU